GACAGAGGUGGCAAGCGUUGUUCGGAAUUACUGGGCGUAAAGGGCGCGUAGGCGGCCUUCUAAGUCGGACGUGAAAGCCCCAGGCUUAACCUGGGAACUGCGUCCGAUACUGGAAGGCUUGGAUUCGGGAGAGGGAUGUGGAAUUCCAGGUGUAGCGGUGAAAUGCGUAGAUAUCUGGAGGAACACCGGUGGCGAAGGCGGCAUCCUGGACCGAGAUCGACGCUGAGGCGCGAAAGCUAGGGGAGCAAACGGG
rnacentral:rRNA from 1 species